UACGUAGGGUGCAAGCGUUGUCCGGAAUUAUUGGGCGUAAAGAGCUCGUAGGCGGUCUGUCGCGUCUGCUGUGAAAACUCAGGGCUUAACCCUGAGCUUGCAGUGGGUACGGGCAGACUAGAGUGCGGUAGGGGAGACUGGAAUUCCUGGUGUAGCGGUGAAAUGCGCAGAUAUCAGGAAGAACACCCGUGGCGAAGGCGGCUCUCUGGGACGGUACUGACGCUGAGACGCGAAAGCGUGGGGAGCGAACAGG
rnacentral:rRNA from 1 species